CGAAAGCCUGACGGAGCAAGACCGCGUGAGGGAGGAAGGCUCUUGGGUUGUAAACCUCUUUUCUCAGGGAAGAAGCUCUGACGGUACCUGAGGAAUCAGCCUCGGCUAACUCCGUGCCAGCAGCCGCGGUAAUACGGAGGAGGCAAGCGUUAUCCGGAAUUAUUGGGCGUAAAGCGUCCGCAGGUGGCGAUUCAAGUCUGCUGUUAAAGACAGUGGCUCAACUACUGAAAGGCAGUAGAUACUGAAGGACUAGAGUGCGGUAGGGGGAGAGGGAAUUCCCGGUGUAGCGGUGAAAUGCGUAGAUUUCGGGAAGAACAUCGGUGGCGAAAGCGCUCUGCUGGGCCGCAACUGACACUCAGGGACGAAAGCUAGGGGAGCG
rnacentral:rRNA from 1 species